UACGUAGGUGACCAGCGUUGUCCGGAUUUACUGGGCGUAAAGAGCGCGCAGGCGGUCGUUCAAGUCGAGUGUGAAAGCCCCCGGCUCAACUGGGGAGGGUCACUCGAUACUGAUCGACUGGAAGGCAGGAGAGGGAAGCGGAAUUCCCCGGUGUAGUGGUGAAAUGCGUAGAUAUCGGGAGGAACACCAGUGGCGAAGGCGGCUUCCUGGCCUGUUCUUGACGCUGAGGCGCGAAAGCUAGGGGAGCAAACGGG
rnacentral:rRNA from 1 species